rnacentral:rRNA from 1 species
AAUGAACGCUGGCGGCGCGCCUAAUACAUGCAAGUCGAGCGAGAAGACGUAGCAAUACGUUUGUAAAGCGGCGAACGGGUGAAGAAUACAUGGGUAACCUACCCUCGAGUGGGGAAUAACUAGCCGAAAGGUUAGCUAAUACCGCGUACGCUUCUUGGACUUCGGUUCAGGGAGGAAAGCGAUACCGUGGGUAUCGCGCUCUUGGAUGGGCUCAUGUCCUAUCAGCUUGUUGGUGAGGUAACGGCUCACCAAGGCUUCGACGGGUAGCUGGUCUGAGAGGACGAUCAGCCACACUGGCACUGCGACACGGGCCAGACUCCUACGGGAGGCAGCAGUAAGGAAUAUUGCGCAAUGGGCGAAAGCCUGACGCAGCGACGCCGCGUGGGGGAGUGAAGGUCUUCGGAUUGUAAA